rnacentral:rRNA from 1 species
GACGAACGCUGGCGGCGUGCUUAACACAUGCAAGUCGAACGGAAAGGCCCUGCUUUUGUGGGGUGCUCGAGUGGCGAACGGGUGAGUAACACGUGAGUAACCUGCCCUUGACUUUGGGAUAACUUCAGGAAACUGGGGAUAAUACCGGAUAGGAGCUCCUGCUGCAUGGGGGGGGUUGGAAAGUUUCGGCGGUUGGGGAUGGACGCGCGGCUUAUCAGCUUGUUGGGGGGGGAGUGGCUUACCAAGGCUUUGGUGGGUAGCCGGCCUGGGCGGGUGACCGGCGACAUUGGGACUGAGGUACGGCCCAGACUCCUACGGGAGGCAGCAGGGGGGAAUAUUGCACAAUGGGCGGAAGCCUGAUGCAGCGACGUCGCGGGCGGGAUGACCGCCUUCGGGUUGUGAACCGCUUUCGCCUGUGACGAAGCGUGAGUGACGGUAAUGGGUAAAGAAGCACCGGCUAACUACGUG